rnacentral:rRNA from 1 species
UAGGGAAUCUUCGGCAAUGGGGGGAACCCUGACCGAGCAACGCCGCGUGAGUGAAGAAGGUUUUCGGAUCGUAAAGCUCUGUUGUUAAGGAAGAACGAGUGUGAGAAUGGAAAGUUCAUACUGUGACGGUACUUAACCAGAAAGGGACGGCUAACUACGUGCCAGCAGCCGCGGUAAUACGUAGGUCCCGAGCGUUGUCCGGAUUUAUUGGGCGUAAAGCGAGCGCAGGCGGUUAGAUAAGUCUGAAGUUAAAGGCAGUGGCUCAACCAUUGUAGGCUUUGGAAACUGUUUAGCUUGAGUGCAGAAGGGGAGAGUGGAAGUCCAUGUGUAGCGGUGAAAUGCGUAGAUAUAUGGAGGUAAACCGAUGGCGAAAGCGGCUCUCUGGACUGUAACUGACGCUGAGGAUCGAAAGCGUGGGGAGCGAACAGG